rnacentral:lncRNA from 1 species
UUGCAGAUAAAAUACUAUGCCUACAUAUAUAAGCUUGUAAUGAUGUAUUCUCAAUGGUAUGUGAAAUUUAUGGCGCAUAAGGAAAUAGGUCAUCAAUGACGAUGCGAGAAGAACACAACCACGAUAGGAAAGUGAUUAAAUUCAUCUCUUCCAGAGAUGGAUUUAUGAUGGCAGGCAAUCCAUUAAACUCAUACUCAUCAA